UUUAUAAAUUACCCAGUCUCUGCUAUGUCUUUAUUAGCACCAUGAGAACAAACUGAUAUAAUCCAGUUGGCUCUAUUUCUCUGGUUCUCUCUCUCUCUCUCUCUCUCUGAUUUUGCUCUCUUGAUUUGUUAUGAGAAAAUGGAUCAUAUAAUUAUGGAGGCUGAGAAGUCUGACAAUCUGCCAUCUGGUAGCUGCAGGUCCAGGAGAGUCAAUGGUAUAGUUUCAGUUGAGUCUGAAGGCCUGAGAACCAGAGAAGCUGACAGUGGAAGUCCCAGUCCCAGAGCAGGAGAACAUUGUCCUGGCUCAACAAGUAAGGUGGCAACCAUGGGAACCACUGGGAAUCCUGUCUCACCACAGCUCGGAUUCUACAUGGUACUACUUCUCCUGCAGCAUGUAAGCGAAAGCCCUGAGCACGAAUGAGAUCACCAAGGAAAGCAUAUGGUGUGUUUCCAACAAGCAUCUUUAGAGCUCUUACUAAGGGGACAGCAGAGUUCAAGCCAGGGAAUUGAUAGCACUCCAACCAAAAAACAACAUCUCAGCAAAUUAACAAAAGAAUGUAUCUAACAUCCACCCCUCCUACAGAAAACUGUGUUGAAGGGAUUCAAAUAUAAAGUGGCCUGCCUGACACUGUCAGUUACAGAUUCUUUCGAUGGGUAAAUGUACAGGGCUUGAUUUCUUGCCUAAAGCUUUCUAUCAAGUAUGAUUAGCUAAAUUCAACAGACGGUCACUCAUUAAAGUUCAGGGAAUUAUCUUCA